ensembl:lncRNA
GCUUGGGUCUCCUCUGCCUGCUAGAAGAUGAGCCCCCUGGCUGCCCACAUGUUGAGCUGACUCCGUGUCUCUGUCAUUCAUUUUCGUUUGUCCGGGGUCAGGGAGGAACAAAGUACCUGGUCUAGGUCCCGGAGCAAGGCCCACCUGGUGGCGCCCCAGUGCGGGGCCGGGGACCCAGGGUUGCCUACAGUUCACACUACUUAUUCUCCUUUUAAUAUCCACGUGAUCUGUAAAUCCUCCCUGUUAUAGGUAAUCCGUAUCCUGGAUUCUGGGGGAUUAUUUAAAGCAGUGGUGGUGAGUGGAUGGCACAUGUGCCACAGCGGACACGCAGAGCCCUCUCUGUCGUAUGUUCUGUCUGGCGUUCACAGUGGACAACUGGGAGUUCACAGUGGAUAACUGCAUGAGGAUCCAUCUUUCAGGAUUCUCCUUCACCAUUUGGGUGCCACUUCCCACUCCAUGUCACCUAGACACCUGGUCACCCACCUAGAGAUGUCAUUUUCCAGGUAUGCUCAUAUGCCUGGGUUCUUGCCAAUGCAAGGGAUUGAACUUGGGACCUUGUGCUUGCAAGGCAGGCGCCGGAACCACUGAGCCAAAUCCCCGGCCCAGGAACUGGUAUUUUAAACAAGCAUCCCAAAGGAUUCCGAUGCAGUGGUCCCUCGACAUUCACCUGGCUACUUUAUGUCUUGCUGAAGAUGCAAAACUUGCUCUGGCUGAAAUUCUCCUUUUAUCCUUUCUACCAGUAAGUGUCUCUUAGAGAAACUGGGACACUUUCACUAUGGCUCUUCCCUGCAUUCCUGGGGGUGAAGCAGCCACCACAGGAAGCAAAACAGCAAGAGAGAGGCUGAUUCAGCACAUACUGAGGCGCAGCCACAAGCCCAGGAGCUUCUUAGUGGCCUCCUGAUCUUAUCGAAGGACAUUGUCCUUUCCUGGAACCUCACUGCCUUCUGCAGUAUCUUUAUUUGUAUCGUAUCGUAAGGCUGUCCCACUCGCUUUGCACUGAGAAGUGUUGCUCUGAAACUAUUUACUGUGAAUAAACUUUCUUGGUAAUGCCACGUUUGUUCAGAACCUUGACCAACAAUAUGCUCUUGAUGGCUGUUCUCAUGGUCUCAGGGGAGGAGAUGGGUAGGAGGAGGAAGAGUGGCUUCUGCUGUGAUUUUUUUUUAAUAGUGGGAGAAUCCAAAUGGGAAAAUGGAUAAAUACAUUGUCUUCUAGCUAAAAGCUAGAAGUAAACUUUGAAGGUUGGAUUAACGAUUUCUUCAAGCAGAGAUUAAGUACUGUUCCAGUAAAUAUCACAUCCACCUAAGAAUUAGAUUUCAG